UCUUGGAGUUCUAGUUCACCUUUCUGGUGUUGUUCUUGUACUCAUCUGUUUAAUCUAGUUCUGCCACUUCUUCUUGAACUUCUUGUUAGAUUUCAAGUCUGUAUUUUGUGUCCGUGACACUUCCAUUGUGUGAGUAGUUAAAAUCGAUAGAUGAUCCUUGAGUCGUGUUGAUGGUGCUCUUAUCCGUGUGAAAUACCUUCUUGCUGUUGGUUUUGACUCCCCCUCUGUAGAUAAUUGUAUCCUUUAUUUUUGUUUGUCUAAUUAGUUUGCUUUGGCCAUAUUAUAGAAUACUUACGUUGGUGUUGUGUGAUCAUAUCCUGCAUACUCAUCUUUUGCUAGAAAAUCUUGGUUUAAGUCACGUUCUUGAGUAAUGUCAGAAUCACAUGCUUCAUCAAGUAAAUCGAGUAUGUGGUGAGAUAUUGGAAAUAACUCAUCAGGUGGUAGAGGAGUAGCUAAAAGAUGAUAUCCGAUACAAGUCUAAUAAAAAAAACGCUUGAAUCCAGGAGGGCUUGCAUCAGUUGCUAGCGAUCUGGCGUGCUUUAUUAUGGUCAUAUUACGACGCUCAGCUACUUCGUUUUGCUGGAGAGUCAAUGCUUGGGUGAGUUGUCUAGUAAUUUUGCGAGUUUCACAAUAAGUCUUCAAUUUGCUGGACAAGAAUUCUCCACCAUGGUCUGUUCAAAGUGAUGUGAUUUUGUUUUGAGUUUUUGUUUCAAUGACCUCCUUGAAGAUCCUAAGUUUUGAGGUCUUAGCCUUGUUGUUUAAGAAGUAUGUCUAGCUUUUGGGGGAAAAACCAUCUGUGAAAACAUCAAAAUAUCUAGAACCUCCUAAGGAUGUGGUUAGAAGAGGGCCAACCAAAUCAGAAUGGAUCAAUUCAGCUCGCUUAAUUGAUCUAUUUUUGGAGUGGCGAGGAAAUCUCUCCCGAUGUUGUCUCCCUGCAAGGCAGCUUUUACAUACUACUUUUAUAUACUACUAAUUGUGUUUAAGCAAGUGUGUAAGGCUAUAAUGGUUCAGGUGUCCAUAUCUUCGAUGCCAAAUAUCAUUGUUGUCUGAUUAGUCUACGUUAAUAACUUGAGGAUCAAAUCCAAAGUUGUACAAUUUGUUUAUUGAAUCACAAUAGCCAAGAGCAAUAAUGUUUUUAUUUUUGAGAUUAUCUAGUAUCCCGCAGUGGGAGUUUGAGAAGACAACUAUAUUUUUAGUGUCUGAAACAACACCAAUUGAAAUCAGGCUUUUUUGAAGGCCAAGCACGUACAACACAUUAGUUAUGUUUAUUUCACCGAAAUCAGUUUUUAUAGUGGAUGUGCCAAUACCUUGGAUGGCAUGAUUUUCUCCUCCUGCAUUUCAUAUGUGUCUCCCUGUGCUACCUUCUCCAAGUUGAUUGAUCUUACUAUUUGAGUUGGUCACGUGAAUAGUUACACCGCUGUCCAUGUACCAUGACUGGGGGCUGUGAAUGUGUCAUGACAGCUCUGAUAAGGUAGCCUUGAGGUUUUCUACAGCUUUUGCGUAACUAGAACAAGUAAACUAACCUCUGUGUGAGUUAAAUGAUUGUCGUGGUUGACUCUGGCAACCAGCAGCAAUGUGUCCAAGUUGCCCAUAGUUGAUUACAUGUAAAAGUUGGGCAUUGAAAUCCUCUUCUGUUUUGUCCUCUGCAUUUGGAGAAUUAACCUCUAGCUCUAACAUUUGAACCUCGUCAAUACUAACCUUUGAACAGAGGAGCAUAAAAACCAAGAAUUUGAAUGUUGGCUCCUUAAUGGAAGUAAGUUGCCAGAGCCUCCUCAUUGCCUAGUUAAGAUGUUCUUUGCUCCUCUCAAGCUGCUUCAGUUAGUAGCUUGGUUGUGAGCUGCUCAAAAGUUAAUACAGUAUUGAGAUUGCUCAGCGUUUUAACUGUGCCCUCAUAGCUUUUGGGCAAUCCAUAUCCAGGAGCUGCUAGAUACCUCAGUAAAAAACGACUUCUUCCAUAGAAAGAAGUUUGUUCCAAACAUCAGAUCCCUUGUUGAUAUAAUCUUCCAUCAAGCUUC